AAAAUCACAAGGAAAGAGUAAGGUACCCACUCAUUCCAAUAAGAGAAAUGCUACUGGGACUUCAUCUUCCUCAUUUUCGAUUGACUGCCACUAAUACCUCACUUUCGACCAUCCACCCCAUGAGAAGAAAUACCAGCAUCUACAGGAUAGAGCAUUGGGUUUGGGUCGGUGUAUUGAUUAGGUAGCCCUUCAGACUGUGGGUUUAUUUGCGCUGGUUCAUACUCUACUAAACGAGACUCCAUGAGAGCAAUUCUUCAUGAUAGUGAAGCCGACAUAUGCUGAGUUUACGUUGGAGUUUUGCUCAACUUUUUUCUACAGUCAGUGCUAUCGUUAGGGGAUGACCCACAAUAUAUAUCAUUCCAUCUUGGGGUAUCACUCGAUAUUUUAGUAUUGCAGGAUUUGGUGUCGCUUUUGGCCUAUAUUUUGAUGAUUUCUUGGCCACGAUCGAGUUUUCCACCCUUCCACAACACAUCCAUCAUUCGACAUCUCUCUGCUGGUUAGACAUUUUUUAGGUUAUCAUUCCAUACAACCAGAGCCAGUCGAAGGCUCAGGCCUUGCUCUAGCCUUACGAUAUAUUCACACCAUUUUAGCUUGUACUUUGACUAGCCAGAAGAAGAGUACGAACGUCUUGGGUACUUUAGAUGCAUAUUUCUUAUAGAGCAUGCAAGGGCAACACUCAACUGAUCUAACCCACUUUAUAGCCCAGUGUUGUUGUAAUUAGAGUGAAUGAUCACGUAGAUGACCCCUCUAUAUAUGGGCCCAUAUGUAACAAGUUUGGCUCGUUACUUCGGGAUCCGUGAGACCCCCGAGUAAAUUGGUACUCUUUCAUUAAUUGGGGACAUGACACCACAGGGAUUGAAUAUCAUGAAACAUAUGAGGAUGAUCGCACUUCAGCUUAGGCCUUUCGGUGAUUAGUAUGUAUUGCUACGUCUAACUCAGCAGCACGGGGAUAACGAGCAUCUAGACGAUGACCCUCCACCACCACCGCAAACCAUUCCCAUUCCUCCUCCAAGUUCCUCUACUGUUGCACCUGCGUAGUCAAUUGCACUCGACGAUAUUUUUCAGCAGUUUGACUAUUUUGAGCAGCGAAAGACAGCAAGGAUAGUUUGACUUGAGUAGUGACAUUAUGAGCAUGUCGAGCAGCAGCCAGCAUGGUUUAAUGGCAUAGAGGCAUGUCUGCAAUGGAUGUGACAUCAUUUCCAUAUUUCUCCACUCGAUGCUGUGCCUCACGAUUGGUAGUUGUUUUUAUUUAUGAGUCUUUUUUGUUUUAUUUUAUUUUUCUUCUAAAUUUUAUAUUUUAUUAUUUUAUCGGUUGUUUUCUUUUAAUUUUACUAUCUCUUUGUCUUAUUUAUUUUUGUCUAUUUUCUUAUUAGUUUUCUUGGAAACAUAUACUUCAUUUAGAUUCGCUUAUGAUUCCGGUUUUCACUAUUCUGGCGAAAUCAUCCAAAUUCAGGGCAGUUUCAGCUCUCUCCCCGCCUUAUGAUAUUGUGCUUAUUCUGUGAUUAUAAUUGUUUGUACAUUGAGGGCAAUGUGCAUCUUAAGUGUGUGGAGGUUGUUUAUAUGUUUAUGCGAUAAAAUCUCUG
rnacentral:lncRNA from 1 species